AGCCUGAUCCAGCCAUGCCGCGUGAGUGACGAAGGUCUUCGGGUUGUAAAGCUCUUUUGGCGGGGACGAUAAUGACGGUACCCGCAGAAUAAGCCCCGGCUAACUUCGUGCCAGCAGCCGCGGUAAUA
rnacentral:rRNA from 1 species